rnacentral:lncRNA from 1 species
UGUGCACAUGCACGCGCGUGCAUGCACACAAAAACAAAACUUCCACAAACAAUUAAACAAUCUGCUCUCAACAAUCUAUUUUACUAUAAAAAUAGUGACCAUAAAAAAAAAACCAUUAUUGUUAUCCAUUAUGUUUUUAUUAACCAUUACAGCAGCCACCGUUAUAUAUAGAUUGUGUUCUGAUUAACAUUUUACCUCUAUAUCCCCUAUUCUGCUUAUUUCCUCUCAUCAAAUGAAACACCACGACAGUCUGUGCCUAUGCAACACUGCAUUACCAAGGGCAUCCCCAGAUCUUCACAGCUUAUGCUCAUACCAUUUCAGUCACUUCUCCAUCACUUUCUCCUUACUAAUACAACUGUUAUUCUUUUCCAGAAAACCCUUCAACCUUUAAAUCCACGCGUAUCUCAACCUCAUCAUACAUACAAUACCCAUAUUACGAAGCAAUGGACCCCCUUUGCCAAUAUUUGAAUUCACACAGAAUUGCCAACCUCAGCAUUGUCUUGUAAUUUUCCCUCCCACAAGUCUCUCUACUGUAUGGCGAUCAAACCACACCCCACAGGCUGACAACCACAUCCACAUAUAAUUUUACAACAGUACAACCACUAGGAAUAACAAGGCAUGGGUAUUUGCCAUGAACUCUGACUAUGACACAUUUUAUAUAUUCUCAUGGAGCUUCAUUUGAUUACCUUUAACCUCAUAUGACCAGAAACCCCUGCCACAUUGAUAUCUGCAGAACAAACACUCAACAAUCCCCUUGAUGGCCUGCAUUGUUUCCUCAUCUUAGUAGA